AUUGAACGCUGGCGGCAUGCCUUACACAUGCAAGUCGAACGGCAGCACGGGUGCUUGCACCUGGUGGCGAGUGGCGAACGGGUGAGUAAUACAUCGGAACGUACCUUAUCGUGGGGGAUAACGCAGCGAAAGCUGUGCUAAUACCGCAUACGCCCUGAGGGGGAAAGCGGGGGAUCGCAAGACCUCGCGCGAUUAGAGCGGCCGAUGCCUGAUUAGCUUGUUGGUGGGGUAAAAGCCCACCAAGGCGACGAUCAGUAGCUGGUCUGAGAGGACGAUCAGCCACACUGGAACUGAGACACGGCCCAGACUCCUACGGGAGGCAGCAGUGGGGAAUUUUGAACAAUGGGGGCAACCCUGAUCCAGCAAUGCCGCGUGAGUGAAGAAGGCCUUCGGGUUGUAAAGCUCUUUUGUCAGGGAAGAAACACCGGCUCUAACACAGUCCGGGAAUGACGGUACCUGAAGAAUAAGCACCGGCUAACUACGUGCCAGCCGCCGCGGUAA
rnacentral:rRNA from 1 species